AAAAGUCGUAUGGAGCUCUUGUAAUUUAUAAUAGUCUCAGACAGCCCAACAAGGAAAACUCUCUAUGAGUCGACAUGUGUAGAUAUAUUUCACGAUUGUUAUUAUUUUUAAUGACAGAUACUUCGCGCUGACAUCGUGUUUGACGUCGGGAAGAGUCUGAACCCCGCCAUUGAUGUCGGACAGAUUGAAGGGGGCUUCGUGCAGGGGGUCGGCUUAAUGACCACUGAGAAAUUAACGAUCAACAAGAGUACGGGUGAGCUGACGCUCUAUGGCCCGGGUAACUACAAGGUCCCCGGCAUCAAAAACAUCCCCAAGGAGUUCAACGUCACGCUGCUGAAAGACGCCAAAGGAGAAAGGAGGCCUUUGUAUUCCUCGAAGGGGAUCGGAGAGCCUCCUCUGCUGUUGGCUGCUAGCGUGCACCUGGCUCUGAGGGAGGCAGUCAACGCUGCGAGGAAAGACCACGGGCUCUCGGACAACUACCAACUGGAGUGUCCGGCAACGCCCGAGAUUAUCCGAAUGGGCUGUGACGGGCCGAUAGUCAAAAAGGUUGAUGGCAUCAAAGAAAAUAACCAGAGUAUUAAAUUCUAAGAGAAUAGACCUGUAUUUGUACGUGUAGCUCACUGUAGAAAAUAUAGACUAUACAUGUACUUGUAUGUUUGAUAUCGCAUUUACAGUAGAAAUAUUAGUUUUUCAUGAAUUUGUUUGAACUAUUAAUAAUAUUGGAUGUGACCAUUCCAAGUGAAGAAGCGAGACGUAUCGAUGUUGACAAAUACCUCAUUGUUUUCUGUAUGCAUUGCAAAAAUAUAUGUACAUGUACACUCAUAUCUACUUUGACUGUGUUAAUCAAGAAUCAUGGCUAGAUAUACAUGUGUAUAUGUUGUAUCAUAUAAAAAUUGUUUUAAGAUUGUCCGUGCCUCUAGAGCCAUCCCAGGACUUUCUAGAAAAAAAUUAAAACAAAAAGAUCAU
rnacentral:misc_RNA from 1 species